CUAGUAAUCGCAGAUCAGCAUGCUGCGGUGAAUACGUUCCCGGGCCUUGUACACACCGCCCGUCAAACCAUGAGAGUUGGCAACACCCGAAGUCGGUAGUCUAACCGCAAGGAGGACGCCGCCGAAGGUGGGGUUGAUGAUUAGGGUUAAGUCGUAACAAGGUAUC
rnacentral:rRNA from 1 species